rnacentral:rRNA from 1 species
GAUGAACGCUGGCGGCGUGCCUAAUACAUGCAAGUCGAGCGAACAGGCGAGGAGCUUGCUCCUCUGACGUUAGCGGCGGACGGGUGAGUAACACGUGGAUAACCUACCUAUAAGACUGGGAUAACUUCGGGAAACCGGAGCUAAUACCGGAUAAUAUAUUGAACCGCAUGGUUCAAUAGUGAAAGACGGUUUUGCUGUCACUUAUAGAUGGAUCCGCGCCGCAUUAGCUAGUUGGUAAGGUAACGGCUUACCAAGGCAACGAUGCGUAGCCGACCUGAGAGGGUGAUCGGCCACACUGGAACUGAGACACGGUCCAGACUCCUACGGGAGGCAGCAGUAGGGAAUCUUCCGCAAUGGGCGAAAGCCUGACGGAGCAACGCCGCGUGAGUGAUGAAGGUCUUCGGAUCGUAAAACUCUGUUAUUAGGGGAGAACAAAUGUGUAAGUAACUAUGCACGUCUUGACGGUACCUAAUCAGAAAGCCACGGCUAACUACGUG